UGUAUAACACUUGUGCUGCUGUUAAUGGUUGUAUAUUGUGUAGUGUGGUUUGCUGAUUGCUGAUGCGGUUGCGUGUGCAUUAACUGUUAAUGAUGUUUAAUGCAUCUUUGUUUGGUGUUUGUGGAGUUAACUCAGGCUAUAAAAGAUAAAAGAUGGCAGAGCAGCUCAUACACACCAUCAUCAUCUCCUGAUGAGCAGCGUCUUCAGUCUUCAGUCUGAUUCCCGUGUGUGCAGUGAAUGAAGAGCUCAGUGGAAACUUGUGAAACAUCUGUCAGUCUGUGUGUUAUUCCACAAACUUCUGCUUUGACCUGCAGACCAAACACACACUCCUGUCAGUAACUGCCCGUCAAGAUUUCAUGAAACAAUGGCAGAACAAAACGCCAGCAUCAACGGAUCAAGUGGAGGAGAUUAUUAUAUCAGCGGAUCAAGU